CAAGUCCUUGUAGAGAAGCUACACACACACACAAGCAGAGAAAGAUAGAGAGAGAAAGAUCAAUCAAUCUAGAGAGAGAGAGGGAGAGAGAGACUCAAAUUCUAAACCAAAAUUAAUUAAGAUGGGUGUGUUGCCAUGCAAGCGCCUUGUUCUGGUGGCUUUUUUCUUGCUUUGCUUUAUAUCCUCCAUCACAGCUACAGCAAGAAGAUUUUAUACAGAAACUACUUAUGAAGCUGAAAAGGGUGAGGAUGUUAAAUUUAAGACAAAAGAAAAGGGGUUACGGGACGACCAAGACUUGAUGACAAUGGACUACACUCCUGCAAGAAAGAAGCCUCCUAUUCAUAACUGAUUCUAUAUAUAUUUUUUAAAUUAAUUAGUCAAAAAAUUUUGGGAGGUUGGUAUAGAAUAUGUAAUUUGAUAUAUCUGUUUUAGUUAGACUUGGGGCUGUUUGGGAUGAAGGAAAAAUAAUUGUGAAAGGUUUUCCUCUUGGAAAGCUUACUGUGAGUUAAACAGUACAUGUGCAUAAAUUAGGUUUAAUUCAAUGAAAGUCAUAUAUAUAUAAGAUCCGUAAUA